AACGUAGGACACAAGCGUUAUCCGGAGUUACUGGGCGUAAAGGGCGUGUAGGCGGAGGUGUAAGUCUAUUCUGAAAGCUCCUGGCUAAACUGGGAGAGGCGAAUGGAGACUGCAUGUCUAGAGUGAGGAAGAGGAAAGUGGAAUUCCGCGUGUAGUGGUGAAAUGCGUAGAGAUGCGGAGGAACACCAGUGGCGAAGGCGGUUCUCUGGGACGGUACGUGACGCAUGAGA
rnacentral:rRNA from 1 species